rnacentral:lncRNA from 1 species
UUCAAUCAGGUACGGUCGAGUGUACUUCAACUUUUUUCUGUGAAACUGUUGCCACCAAAAUGUACCUUGACCAUCUAUGGUGCCAUUUUCCCCUGUUAACAAAAGGAUCACAGUUGAUUAUUGAUAUCAAGAUUUAUCUAAAUCUAUAUACACAAUUUCUAUUGUAGAUUACUUAUUAUGAAGGUGGUCCACUGUCUACUAUGGACUUGUUCCGAAAAAUUGUCGAAAACGAAAGAUCUUUUCAUCUUUCGUUGUCCUUAACAAGUAGAAGCUCACAGUUCUUUCCAUCUUUAUGACCUAGGCGAUGACGAUGAUCUAAUCGAUGACAGUUUUCAUAAACAAUGAGCAAAUGAAUGAGUUGAGUUUUAAGACACAUAUAUGUGUUUUAUCUUGUUUUUGUCCAAUAGACAUCAAUUAGAUUACUGUCUUAGACAUUACAAGGACGACUGUGAACU